AUGAGUUGCGAACGGGUGAGUAACGCGUAGGUAACCUGCCUGGUAGCGGGGGAUAACUAUUGGAAACGAUAGCUAAUACCGCAUAAGAGCAGUUGUUGCAUGACAGCUGUUUAAAAGGUGCAAUUGCACCACUACCAGAUGGACCUGCGUUGUAUUAGCUAGUUGGUGAGGUAACGGCUCACCAAGGCGACGAUACAUAGCCGACCUGAGAGGGUGAUCGGCCACACUGGGACUGAGACACGGCCCAGACUCCUACGGGAGGCAGCAGUAGGGAAUCUUCGGCAAUGGGGGCAACCCUGACCGAGCAACGCCGCGUGAGUGAAGAAGGUUUUCGGAUCGUAAAGCUCUGUUGUAAGAGAAGAACGAGUGUGAGAGUGGAAAGUUCACGCUGUGACGGUAUCUUACCAGAAAGGGACGGCUAACUACGUGCCAGCAGCCGCGGUAAUACGUAGGUCCCGAGCGUUAUCCGGAUUUAUUGGGCGUAAAGCGAGCGCAGGCGGUUAGAUAAGUCUGAAGUUAAAGGCUGUGGCUUAACCAUAGUACGCUUUGGAAACUGUUUAACUUGAGUGCAAGAGGGGAGAGUGGAAUUCCAUGUGUAGCGGUGAAAUGCGUAGAUAUAUGGAGGAACACCGGUGGCGAAAGCG
rnacentral:rRNA from 1 species